AUUUAUAUAGUAUAAUUAUUACAUUUGAUUUCCAAUCAAAAAAUCUUAUUCAAGUAUAAAUA
rnacentral:tRNA from 1 species